CCACACAUCCUCCGCAAUGCUCAAAAUUGCUAGUUUUUAGUGCCGUUUCGGUUAGGGAGAGAUUUUAGGUCUAAAAAUUACAGGGAGUAAGCUUGAAUAAAUUGAAUAAAUUGUCUAACUUAAAAUUUUUCCAAAAAUACUUUAGUUCCAGAGAUAUUGAUGUUACGUACAUUUUUUUACGAUCACCCCCAUUAUCUCCUAAAAUUAUUUCCCACUAAAACAACUUUUGGGGAAAUAUUUUUGAAUCAUGUUGUAGCUUAUUCUUUUAACCUAUACAAUGGUAUCAGCACAAUUUCUUAGAAAUGUUCCAAUCUUGAGAUAGUACAACUACUCACCAAUUUUUGUAUUCUACUCUCUAGACUGGUCUACUCUCUAGACUGGAUGCACUGUAGCUAUUAUUAAGACAUUGCGUUACAUUGUAAGUGUCUCUUUACCUUGACUAUGACAAUGCUAUUCACUUUCUAAUGGCACAGAUAGGUAGCAACAGAUAGGUAGCAACUACUGUGGAGUGCUAGCUAGGAGAGCAAGUUUUGGUCGUAUAUUCUUUUCAGGUAUUGUAAUACUAUACCUUGCAUGUGUACCUAUUGGGUCAUUGAUUAUACACGUUUAGUUACAACUUAAACUAUUACAAUAAUGAUCUUUACCCUUCAAAUUGUAGCAUGCAACUCAAGAGUAUUUUUACGUUUGAGCUGCGCCGAGCAGACGCUCCAAAUGAAUCUGGUGAGCGUGUCUGGUGAGCGUGUCAAGAGUGACGGCUUGCCGGAUCCAGCAUAACUGUACGUGUAUGCACACGCUGCAUAUCUGUCUAUCAGUCUCUACAUACCUGCCUUUCUACUCAUUGCAUGCUCGGAACGCCCCAAUAAUUACUGUGCUAUUCACUCAUGACCCUUUACCUGUUUGUGUCUUUAACUGAAUUUUGACUACUCUGAUGUAUCGGUGUGGCUGAUGUAUCGGUGUGGAGGAGACUCUCUGUGGGGGGGCCACUCCAGAGGCAGGCCGGCCAACGCCGAGCAUGAAUCUGAUGUGUCUGUGUGGAGGAGAUACAACGCUCUCUGUUGGGCCACUUCUUUGAGCUGAUCCAUCCAGAGUCAGGCCAACGCCGAGCAGAUGAAUAUGAUGUAUCGGUGUAUCUCUGUGGGGCCACUCCAGAGGCAGGCCGGCCAACGCCGAGCAUGAAUCUGAUGUGUCGGUGUGGAGGAGAUACAACGCUCUCCACUUCUUUGAGCUGAUCCAUCCAGAGUCAGGCCAACGCCGAGCAGAUGAAUAUGAAAGAGGAAAGAGGAAGACAUAGGAACAGACUGGUACACCAUAGUGCUCCUCUCCCGCACAACUUCCUGGUGCUUGUGGUGCUUGUGGUUGACUCCACACGUUUCACUGGCGUUCAUGAAGGCUGGGACAGCAGUACCAUAUCCAGCUCCUCCUUCUCAAGCUCGGAACAGUCUCGUCAAGAAUCUGUCACUUGCAUCUCGCUGAAUUUUGACACACAAGCUCUACCGCAGGUACACCCAACCCAUCUCAUAUGGCACUCGACGAUGCUGAGGUGCGUGUCGACGUUGCUGAGGGGCGUGUGGUGGCACUUGACGAUGCUGAGGUGCGUGUGGAGGAGUUGUAUGUGGAUGUGGAGGAGAUGUGGAGGAGUUGUAUGGCCAUUUGAGUCUGAAUAAGUUGUUAUAAUGAUGUUUUUGUUAACAUAAUAGCAAAACUUACUCUCAGGAGGCGUGGGACUGUCGGGGGGUGAUGGUGACAUGGGACCAUCUGAAGAGAAGAUAUGGAGUAUAGGUAGCUGUUAGUGUUUAUAUUUUUGUUAACUGUUAAGUAACCUCUAGAGAAGUGAAUGCUCUCCUCCAAAUCCUCCACUGUUGAGGCCUCAUCUUCACUAAAACCUUCUAAUUCCUCGGCCUCGAAGGUGACACCGGGUGCGGGUGCUGUGAAGUAGUCAAGGGCUACUUCUUGGGUCAUUCAGUGCAGUUGCUGCACGCUGUGCUCUGGACAUCUCUUAGCUCUUGAAGAAUAAAGAUGCGAGUGCACCUGCAAGGUUUUGCCUGCGCAGAGUCUGCGCAUGGGGAAAUCCCUUCACGGAUUCCGUAAAUUAGUACCAAAUUAGUAAGCUAGUGAGGUAGCUCUCUUUAAACUGUGGUCAUGUGAAUGUCCCUCAAAGUGUGUGGGGGAAGAUGGCUGAAGUGUUCACUACACUGGGUCAGGAGAUGCUCGGCAGGUACAGGAAGGUCUCCGCUUCAAGCUGGUGCAAAAAAAUGUGUUGAUUGCAGAACCUUUGUGGCCUAAAGGUUAAUUUAAUUAGUGCCGCAUUAAGGGGGUUUUCCUAGGCCCAGUCACAAAUGUUUUACUCGAUCAACUAGCUAUGGUCAACUUAAGUAGAGUGUCAUUGACCCAAGCUCCGCCUUCACUAAUAAUUGCACCCACGCACGUGAUAAACAUUCCAGAGCGAUGACGUCGCGCACAUGAAUUUUAAUCCUUAAUACCCAUACAAAGACACACACAUACACCCGCGCGGGCACACAUACAGACGGGCACACAUACAGACACGCACGCACGCACAUAAAGAUACACACACAUAAAGAUACACACACACACCACUUACUGUACGUUCCAAGUGUACGUUCGAAGUAGGUAGUAGGUAGUUGGCUUAGCUUUUGAAGUAGGUAGUUGGCUUACCUAUUUAGCUUUCGAAGUAGCUUAGCUAUUUAGCUUUCGAAGUAGGUAGCUAUAAUAGCUUUCGAAGUAGGUAGUUGGCUUAGCUUUCGAAAUAGGAAGUUGGCUUGGCUUUCGAAGUAGGUAGUUGGUGACCUUUAAACUCUAAACGGAAUGAAACGGAAUGUAUUCAUUCCAAUAAAUGCCCAUUGCCAUGGUGUGCUGUGUCAGCAUGCAGUGCUCCAAAGUAUGUUAAUAUCCUUAGCAAACUCUUGAAGUCUUGCAAGAUGUUGCGUAGCCGAGUUGAGUAGGAAAGGUAAGGAACUGUAGUUACAAAUUUUCCCCACAAAAGUAGCCUUACAUCAUAAUUUAUAAUUUAUAGUAUCUAACAUGAAUCUGCUGUGCUUGUAUAAAUGUUAUAAAUCGCUGUGUUGUUAUAAAUCGCUCAACCAGGUAUAGGUAUAGUCAGCCGCCGUUCUUUGGAACCACCGUCUGAGCACUCUUGUCAUGAACACAUUUGAUUGUCAUUACGUCUGUCAAAACCAAUGGAAUGUACUAUAAUCGCGAUCUUAAUUUACACGUUUGAUAAGUUAAUGCGCAAAGCGUCAAGCAGCAAUAUCUUCUCUACAAACUCUGCUAUAGACUGUCCUGAUCUCUGUGCUGAUGGAUUUGCUGAUGGAUUUCUGUUUGGCUAGCUCUGUUGCCAAAGGACUCAGGAGGACCCUAUACAAUCCUAGUGUUUCUCAUAUUGUUCCAGUGCUGAGAAGUUUUAUGAAUGAUUUGUUCAACCAAGAAGAUGCUGUACCUCACAACUAUGUGUGUAGGAAGUGCCUCAGAUCCUUGGAGUCGUAUGUGAAAAUUAAGAAAUGUGAAAAUUAAUAGGCAAGAAGCUACUGUAGUCUGGCUCACAAGAGAGAGUACAGAUUGUCAGCCUGGCUCAGCCCAGGAAACGUAGAAGUGACGGUGGCUCACUACUGGCUAAGCGCAGAAGGAUUGAUACCCCAAUGCGUGGCAUGCUUGAUUGUAUGCACCCUCAAGUCAGUCCUCUUGUCUCGGUCGGCAAGUGUGUUAACCGUAAAGUGAAUGUACAUCGUCUUACUCACUCACUUAAGCGUCUUGGGCGUAGUGUUGGGCGAAGAGACAGAGCCUCUAUUGCAAGGCAGGUGGUUGCAGACUGCAAGCGACAGUUCCUCUGAUUGGCAAAGCAAUGGCACGAGAAAUGUUGGCCUUGCGUUUUGAAGACACAAUGUUGAAGAAUUCUGAGCCAUCUACCACUUGACCUGUCUUAGGUCGAGCAGAUCAAAGAAGGGUCCUCGCAGAGUGAACACGGAUGCAAUUGUUGGUUUAUGCUGUGGUCUGUUGGCAAGGGCAAGAAGUCAAAAGCUGAAUCUCGUUCAGCGACUCAUUUCUGUCCUAUUGUAUGGAGGUCAUGCUAGUAAACAGGUAUAUUCCCGACUCCAAAAGUGCCUGUCUCACAAAGCUACCUUAGCAUUUGUCAAUGUGCUUGGCAAGAACUUUGACGAGAAAGUCCAGUCAUGGAAGCAUGAUGUCGAGUCAAGAAAACUCCAGAUUAAUCAACCACCUGUCACUAGCCUUGACCUUGUGACCACGACCAGCAGUGGUGAUUGUAGCACUGUGUCCUCACCCCAAUCUACUCAGGGAACGCAGGGAACUCAGGGACCCCAAUCUACCCAGGGAACUCAAUCUACUCGGGUACAACUUCUCUAUAUGACUCAAACAACAGCCAGCAGUAACACAUCAAAGUUAUCAGUAGAGCACAUAGUCAAUGAGGUAUUUGGACUACAGCCUUCUCUGAAAGCUCUCCUAAAACCUACAAGCUCGUUUUGGACAACAUUGAUAAAACUGUCAAGCCCAACGAUAUGAGAAUGGACAAUCAGACAAAGUCAUUACAUUAUGUGCACAAGUACGCUGUUUUAGAUCAAAUCAACUUGUCAUCUUUUGAUGAUAAACCAUGUCGCCCUGAUAUUGGCAAUGUACGUCUUGAGUCAAUGUUACCAUCGAAGCAAGAUAGUGAAGCGAUUCGACAGAAUAUGACAACCCUUGUUGCACGUGUGCUGAUUAAGAACUUUCCAUUUCUGAAAUCGUUUGCUCGCUGUCUUGGGCGCCACAUUUCUCACCGCUUCUCUGCUUAGAUGUCUGCACAAAUACAGUGGUCAAGAUGGCUGUAGUGCAGAAAUUUCCUGAUAGGUUUAGCACUAUACUGCUGUAGAAAGCAUUGCUCUAGUUCUCUCAUUGGUAGCCCAACAGCAAGAGAAAACUCAAGGAAGAGAAUCAAGGACACCAGCGGCCAUGGAGUUUCGCCACAAGCUCGUCCAGUAGCUAAGCUUGCCUUAGGUAACCUGGGUAGAAGACUGACGUUCUCCUCGCUAGGUCAAUGUACUAGGUCAAUGCUCAAUGCGCAAACCACUUGAAUAAUUAUGUGCUAAUAGAUACACCGUGUUCUUUCUACUCCACAUAAUUAUAUAUACGUAACACUUAAUAUCAGGUAUAUAUACUGCAUGUUCAUCAUGACAAGACUAUGUCCCCAGUGGUAAUACCAAUGAAAAGGGAGGGCAUUUUCGAAUCAGUUUUUAUUGUUGAAUCGGAUAGAGCGUCCCAAGAUCGACCUCCUAACUACUUUCUUUCCGGAGAUAUGAAGGUAUUGCAACGCCCUGCCCUCUUGAGUAUAUGACGCUCAAACGUCAAGAAUAAUUGAAGUGCCUUCCGGGUUCUGGAGAAGACAACUAGGCGUUCUAGGACUCGGCUAGUAUAGCUAUGUAGCUGGAUUGCUUGGCACCUAGGAAGGAUCGACAAAGACUCGAAUGGUAAGCUCUCAUGUCUGUAAAAAGUCUUAUAAAACUUCACACAGUAAGAUCUAUUAGUGAAGGUCAACACUACACUGUAAAAAAUGAGUGAGCGGUGGGUACACGUCGCAUAUAGCACGCCUUUUUGGAAAAGUGUGCUAUAUGCGACGGUGCUCACCGCACUUCAUUUUUUCCAUUUUUUACAGUGUAGGCGUUUAUCUACUCCUCUUAACAGAGUGUGAAUUCAUCUGGGCACAGCAGAGAAUUCUAGAAGCACUGUGCAUGUGCACAACCUUGUGCCCUGCACAUCUCCCUAAUACCAGGAGCACUAAAAUAAUACUCUCUGCUAAAUACCCUCAGUUGUUUAGUAAAUACCCUCAGUUGACCCUCCUCAGUUGUUUAGUAAAUACCCUCAGUUGUUUAGUAAAAUUAAUACCCUCAGUUAUUUACUAAAUAUCCUUAGUCCUUUGCUAAAUACUCUCAGUUGUUUACUAAAUACCUUUGCUAAAUACCCUCAGACAUUUACUAGAUACCCUCAGUUGUUUAGUAAAUACCCUCAGUCCUUAAAAUCCCUCAGACAUUUACUAAAUAUACCCUCAGUUGUUUAGUAAACCCUUUGCUAAAUACCCACCAAAUACUCGACACACCAUAAAAUAUUGAUGACAAAAACACAAGGUUUUGGUGGUAUUUACUAGAGUAUUUGGUAAACAACUGAAGAGAGAACUGACUGAGGGUAUCAACUGAACGGCACCCCAUAAAAUGCUGACGACAAAAACACAAGGACUAAACAUUUGAGAGUAUUUGGUAAACAACUGAGGGUAAGCAAACAACUGAGGGAAUUUAGUAAAUGUCUGAGGGUAUUGAGGGUAUUUACUAAACAACUGAGGGUAUUUAGUAAAAUAAUGUCUGACGGUAUUUAGCAAAGGACUGAGGGUAUUUAGUAAAUGUCUGUAUUUACUAAACGGUAUUUAGUAAAAUAUAAUGUCUGAGGGUAUUUAGCAAAGGACUGAGGGUAUUUAGUAUUUAGUAAGGGUAUUUAGCAAAGGACUGAGCAAAUGACAGAGUAUUAGGGAGGCACAAGGUUGUGCGCAUGCACAGUGUGCACGACUUCUUCUAGAAUUCUGUAGCUAGAGCUAGAGCUCUACUAUGCCCAGAUGAAUUCACACUCAAACGCCUAGUGUUGACCUUGACUCGCUAAGAGAAUACCCUCAGUCCUCAGUCUGAAUGCCCUAAAGUACUCUCAGUCAUUCACUAAAUGCCCUCAGUCGUUUGCCUCAGUUGUUUGCCCAGUCGUUUGCUAAAUACCGUCAGUUGUUUAGUAAAUACCCACAGACAUUUACUUUAGUAAACCCUCAGUUGUGUACUAAAUACCACCAAAACUAAAUACCACCAAAACCUUGUGUUUUUUUAUUUUGACACAAACGGCACCUACCCCUGUUGGUUCAAGCUCAGGUUGCAGAAGAAUAAGGCACACACUAGUAGAGAGAAGUGGUGAAUGUAGACCAAUAAGAAAAUAAUAGUACUAUACUGGUACUAGCAGCUAGCAGCCUGCCAUGUAAGUAUAAUUAUAUACCCCCAUGCAUGUGCCCCAACAUUGCGUACAAUACCAUUCUUACCCAUUCUUUAUGUGGUAUUAUAGCUUUAGCAAUAAUAAUAAUAUUCAGAACUGAACAAAACUUAACAUACAGUAAUCAUAUAUAGAUGUUAACUGCCCGUACGUGAUCUAGUCAUAAUCGGGCUUCGAUCGUGAUCAUCCGGGGUAUCGACAGAUUGCGUAUCAGGGUUCACUGUCAGGUGAGUUCGGUUUCGACGGAUCACUCCGGUUGGGGUGGUCACCAGGUAUGAUCUCGGGGUGUCCGCAUGAGCAGUAACUUGUCCUGGUGCCUGAGUACCAGAUGUUGUCACCCAGACUUGGGUAUCAUUGGGAAUGUCAGCAAGUGGUCUUGCACCGUGGCGUGAAUCGUAGUUCGAUUUCUGUUUCUGUUUUAACUCUGCGUUUGCAACUCGGAAGUCUUCCAGAUGUGGCCAUUGUGGAGUAAGAGUUCCAAUUGUUUGGGGAAUGUUAGACCGGAGUCGUCUUCCCAUCAGUAGUUCCGCUGGCGAUAAUCCACACCAGGGUAGUGGAGUUGUCCGAUACAUCAGUAGUGACAAGUAUGGAUCAGUUGAACCUUUUAACAACUUCUUGGCUGUCUGGACGGCUCUUUCAGCAUGACCGUUGCUUUGUGGGAAAUGAGGGCUACUUGUAGUAUGCUUGAAGUUAUACUCCUUCGCAAAAUCACGAAAUUCCUGUGAUGAAUAUUGGGGACCAUUGUCGCUGAGGACCUCUUCUGGUAUGCCAUAUCUAGCAAAAAUCGACUUGAGGGCGGAGAUGAUGCUUGACGAAGUUGUAGUCGUCAACUUUAUUACUUCUGGAUAUCUUGAGAAGUAAUCGGUUGCCACAAUGUAGAUAGUCCCCUUGAGUGUGAACAGGUCCGUCCCUAUCUUUUGCCAGGGGAAGUCAGGAAGAGCUGUCGGCAUUAGGGGCUCCUUCCGAGGUGUGCUCUCUUUGACACAAUGUGAACAGGUCUUCACCAACCUUUCGAUUUGGCUGGAUAUUCCUGGCCACCAUACUGAGAUCCUGGCUCUCAGUCUACAUCUCUCGAUGCCUUGAUGUCCUGCAUGUACGUAGCUUGAUCAAAGUCUGUUGUUGCAUUGAUGCUGAUGCUGGUACGACUAUCCGGCUCCCAUGUAGCAGGAGGUUGUCAUGUAAAGUGAAGUCUCCUUGGUUUUCCCAGUAGGGUGCAAGUGCCUCAUCUACUUUAUUCUUGGUAGGCCAGCCCGUACGGCAGUACUUGAUCACAAGCGAGCACAGGGGGUCUAAGACUUAGUUGCUAUGUAUGGUUCUAUGGUGUGACAAAAAGAUUGAUAGUGACCAAGAGCAGCCAUCUCGAAAGCGAAAGAGUACCUCUACGCCGUCAGAAGGAGCUACUUCAAAACUGUCAAAAACAGAAGAAAGCGAUGAAUUGCUGGAAAUCAUGGGCAAACUUAAUUAGGCACUUACACUGAUCCUCAGCUGAGGCUAUGGGGGAAAUUUAUUCAGUCAAAGCGGCAUGAAAGCUUUGAUAAACCUUCGAAUAUACCCCUAAUACGGAUAUACCCCUAAUAACUGGUUGUACUGACACACUGGUUGUACUGACACACGAAAGGCAAAUAAGAGAGACUCAGUUGGGUGGGGAAGUUGUGGCAGGUGCUGCCGCUGCUAUUGUUAGCGCACUCAAGGGAUCACCUAAGAAACCCAGUAGUGUGCCGGUGUCCAUGACCUACUCACCAAAUAAUCAGGCGAAUUUAAGACGUAAAAAUUUAGAGGAUCUACGCACACUUCACAGUCUGUAUGAAGAAUUUGAAUGAUACUGAAUACAGUGAGCAGAAGGCAAGCAUUUUGUCAUCGCUACGUGAACUUAAUCCCUCAAAACCCUAAACAGUUCAUGAUGUAAAAUAAUAAUAAUAAUAAUAAUUUUGUUACAUUCAAUAUCCAGAAUGAUCAAUCCAGUUGACACAAUCUUCUGAAGUUACUGCAGUGAAGCCGCACAAAAUAUUUGUCUCUAAAUCAUAUCCACUUAAAAUGUUCUCAUUGGUCUUCAUAACGUAUUCUUCUAUUGGACGUAUUCUUCUAUUGGGU